rnacentral:misc_RNA from 1 species
GAUGAAGAACGUAGCGAAAUGCGAUAAGUAGUGUGAAUUGCAGAAUUCAGUGAAUCAUCGAAUCUUUGAACGCACAUUGCGCCCUUUGGUAUUCCUUAGGGCAUGCCUGUUCGAGCGUCAUUUAAACCUUCAAGCUCCGCUUGGUGUUGGGCGUCUGUCCCGCUUCGCGCGCGGACUCGCCCCAAAGGUAUUGGCAGCGGUCGUGCCAGCUUCUCGCGCAGCACAUUGCGCUUCUCGAGGCACCGGUGGGCCCGCGUCCAUCAAGCUCACCCCCCCAGUUUGACCUCGGAUCAGGUAGGGAUACCCGCUGAACUUAAGCAUAUCAAUAAGCGGAGGA